rnacentral:rRNA from 1 species
UCGAUUGUCCCAGCCGCCGCGGUAAUACGUAGGGUGCAAGCGUUAUCCGGAAUUAUUGGGCGUAAAGGGCUCGUAGGCGGUUCGUCGCGUCCGGUGUGAAAGUCCAUCGCUUAACGGUGGAUCCGCGCCGGGUACGGGCGGGCUUGAGUGCGGUAGGGGAGACUGGAAUUCCCGGUGUAACGGUGGAAUGUGUAGAUAUCGGGAAGAACACCGAUGGCGAAGGCAGGUCUCUGGGCCGUUACUGACGCUGAGGAGCGAAAGCGUGGGGAGCGAACAGGAUUAGAUACCCUGGUAGUCCACGCCGUAAACGGUGGAUGCUGGAUGUGGGGCCCGUUCCACGGGUUCCGUGUCGGGGCUAACGCGUUAAGCAUCCCGCCUGGGGAGUACGGCCGCAAGGCUAAAACUCAAAGAAAUUGACGGGGGCCCGCACAAGCGGCGGAGCAUGCGGAUUAAUUCGAUGCAACGCGAAGAACCUUACCUGGGCUUGACAUGUUCCCGACGAUCCCAGAGAUGGGGUUUCCCUUCGGGGCGGGUUCACAGGUGGUGCAUGGUCGUCGUCAGCUCGUGUCGUGAGAUGUUGGGUUAAGUCCCGCAACGAGCGCAACCCUCGCCCCGUGUUGCCAGCGGAUUAUGCCGGGAACUCACGGGGGACCGCCGGGGUUAACUCGGAGGAAGGUGGGGAUGACGUCAGAUCAUCAUGCCCCUUACGUCCAGGGCUUCACGCAUGCUACAAUGGCCGGUACAACGGGAUGCGACAGUGCGAGCUGGAGCGGAUCCCUGAAAACCGGUCUCAGUUCGGAUCGCAGUCUGCAACUCGACUGCGUGAAGGCGGAGUCGCUAGUAAUCGCGAAUCAGCAACGUCGCGGUGAAUGCGUUCCCGGGCCUUGUACACACCGCCCGUCAAGUCACGAAAGUGGGCAGCACCCGAAGCCGGUGGCCUAACCCCUUGCGGGAGGGAGCCGUCUAAGGUGAGGCUCGUGAUUGGGACUAAGUCGUAACAAGGUAACCA